rnacentral:rRNA from 1 species
CGGUUAUAAGAUCCCUCAAAGAUGAUGAGGUUAAUAGGUUCGGGGUGUAAGCGCAGUAAUGUGUGUAGCUGACGAAUACUAAUCGAUCGAAGACUUAAUCAA